CAGUCGCCACGGGAACACGUAGGGUGCAAGCGUUAAUCGGAAUUACUGGGCGUAAAGCGUGCGCAGGCGGUUUGUUAAGACAGAUGUGAAAUCCCCGGGCUCAACCUGGGAACUGCAUUUGUGACUGGCAAGCUAGAGUCUGGCAGAGGGGGGUGGAAUUCCGCGUGUAGCAGUGAAAUGCGUAGAUAUGCGGAGGAACACCGAUGGCGAAGGCAGCCCCCUGGGCCAACACUGACGCUCAUGCACGAAAGCGUGGGGAGCAAACAGGAUUAGAUACCCGAGUAGUCCCUGUCUCUUAUAA
rnacentral:rRNA from 1 species